CAACGUUUCAGCCCCCUUCUGUGGCUUUCCUCAGGAUCAUACAUUAUGUACGAUGUAAUGUAUGAUCCUGAGGAAAGCCACAGAAGGGGGCUGAAACGUU
rnacentral:miRNA from 1 species